GCGAGCUGGCGGCCGCCGAGACGUGCCUGAGUCGCGCGCACGCCAUGGCGCCCCACGAGGACUACAUCCUCCGCCACCUCAAGAUCGUGCGCUCGCGCCUCGCAAAGUUCUCGCAGAUGCAGCAGCAGCAGCAGCAGGCCCAGGACAGGGCGGCGUCGGCGCCUGAUGCAGGCGAGGGCGUCGUCGACGGAGGCCCUGACGCCAGCGCCACCAGACCCAAAAAGACUGUCUUUAUAACAAAAAAUAGUGAUAGUAAUAGUAAAAAUACAGAGAAACAGCCUACGCCAAUGAUGGAGGCGACGCUAAAAAGUGAAGCGAGUGACUCGUUAUCGUAAGACUGGAUCAUUGUUGAAAGCAUGCCAAAGGUUCUACAGUCAUUAGAAGGUAUAAGAGUUGCAUGGUCGUCCGCGGCGAGGCAGACGGCCGGCCGAGCUCUCGCCAUGGUCCUUCAGGGGGAGGGGCAGGGGGAGGGGGCGGCGCAAGGGGCGAGGCAAGGAGCGUCUUGUCCCCGCCUUCCGUAAUCCCUCCCCCACCCCCGCCCCCUCCCAUAUCGUUGUCCAGCGAGAGAGAGAGAAAAAAGGGGCGCCAUCCACACCGUGUUUCAACGUCUCUGGGUCGAGGACGAAGGGGAAACGAAGUCGAAAGUGAUCUCAACCUCGCCGCGUUUCGUUUCGAGUUAAAGGUGUUGUUCUUUUGGUAAAGGAAGAAUCUUCGCGUGGUCAGACUUUCAAAAGAGGGACAAAAGGAUCCGAGAAAGAAACGCCGUGGAAGGGAUUUCAAAGGAAGGGAAAGGAAAAGGAAAAAAAAAACUCGACAGUGAGAACUUCCAGUGUGGAAAAAAAUGAAAAGUGUGCGAGGAAGGUCCUUAGUGAAGUGUCCUCCCCUGGGUGUGCCAGUCCAGGGCGUGGUGUGAACUCCUUAUCCCAUCCACAGUGGCACAGCACAGCGUCACGUUGCGCUUGCCUGCAGUGACAGUGCCGGACCCCACAGGUUACAGGGACCUUAACAAAGGAAAGAACUUCAGUGUAUUCGAGGCUGCGUCGGGCCACCUAUCCAGGAACAAUUGUUUGCUAUAUAAAAAAAAAAGUAAAAAAAAAAAAAAAUUGCAGUGUGUGAAUGAGUCAUCACAUAGUCCUUCUACAUGGCGACCGUUGUCCAAUAGCGUUUUAUGCGUAGGGGAGAGACUUGUAUUUAUCCACAGUAAUUACAUUAUACUUGCUUUUUUAUAAAAGGAUUUGUCUUGCAGAAAGGGAGAUGAGCCAAGCUUGUCAUUUGGAAGAAAAAAAAAAUGAAACACACUUGCCUAAUUGACGGAAGGGUUAUUACUUCUAACGUUGGGAAGGACGGGAACACUUCCUGCUGUUAACUGAUAACGAGGGCUGGUAGACACCUGCAAAACAUUGGCUGGUUAUGGUUCAACUAACGUCACUAGCGUCCCUUGUCUUUGUAGUAGCGCUUGCUUUUGCGUGGGCGUUUGACCUUAUUCCUGGCCGGAAUGAACUUCGGAGGUAGACAUCGGGGAGCAAGCAAGAGCCCAGCCCGUGGAGGUUGAUGGAGGCCGUAUGUGAUCUAUUCUUUGAUAUUGCUAGAGAGGGCAAAUAGAUCCUUUUUAUAUAUGUAAAUGAUUUUAAUCACGCUGUAUUUCCUUCAUUUUUCUCACUUCAAGAAGCAUAAAAAAGCUGUUUGGUUUUAGAUAUGAAAUAUCAGAUCCUUUUUUUUUAAACUGAGUUGAUGGAUUGAAAAUCCAGAAUGUGUUGAUAUCUAAUUUUGAAAAUGAUUGCUAAUUCAUAUAAUAAAUAUUAUUAUUGA